rnacentral:rRNA from 1 species
GACGAACGCUGGCGGCGUGCCUAAUACAUGCAAGUCGAACGCAGUGGGGACGGUUGAUGAACACGUGGGUAACCUCCCAUCAGAGGGGAUAACACUUGGAAACAGGUGCUAAACCGAUACUGAUGGAUGGAGCCGCGGGGGAGUAGCCAGUUGGUGGGGUAACGGCUCACCAAGGCCACGAUGCAUAUCUGACCUGCGAGGGUGAUCGGCCACACUGGGACUGAGACACGGCCCAGACUCCUACGGGAGGCAGCAGUGGGGAAUCUUCGGCAAUGGACGAAAGCCUGACCGAGCAAUGCCGCGUGAGUGAAGAAGGUUUUCGGAUUGUAAAGCUCUGUCGUUAGAGAAGCGGUAUCUACCCAGAAAGCACCGGCUAACUACGUGCCAGCAGCCGCGGUAAUUC